AAGCUUCUCUUCUUUUUACAGAAAUACAAAAGAAAGUUAAAAAUAAUAUUCAACCCUAUUUCUCCAAAACUCUUCAAGCCGCAACCGUAAGAACUAUGAAACUUCAUUAGUUCGUCUCCAUAUAUCUUUCACUCAUUCUGAUCACAAUCCGCCGACCUAGAAGCGCCGCCUGCUAGAACUAAAAUUCAGCAAUUACCUUUGUCAGAAUCUCGAUUUGCAAUCGUGUUAUGUGAAAUUCCUGCACAAGAGUCUAGUAACGUUGAUAUUACUCCAUAUGAGAUCUUGGAUAAAUCAGAUUUUGAAGGCCGUGAGAUCAAAUAAUGUGAAGGAAUCCUGAUUUGGUGAAAGUAUGGAACACUUCAUCAAGAAAAAUACAUGGAUGCUGAAGCUUUAAAUUAUGUUGGUGUAUUUGGAAAUUAUAAGAGAAAAGUUAUGGUUAUGUAGUCAUAUGUUACAAAAAUGAAAAGUCCCAUUUUUGAAACAACCAA